GCCAAAACAUAGAGAGGAGGCAGAGAACGAAAUUGGAGAAAAAGAGGGAGAAAAAGGGAAGGAAAAAAGAAAAGAAAAAGAAAAGAAAGGAAAUGAAAGAGGUUGAUGAUUUUUGUAAGUUUGGGUUCUUCAUUUCUUCAACUUAUCCUUAUUUUAAAGAGGUAGAGACAUGAAAACUUGGAAUGACACGUCAAUUUAGGCAGAUUUCUAUUCAUGGAUUUGUGAGGGGAAAAAUAUAAAUAUUUUUAAAAUAUUUAUGAAUUAAGUAUAUUAUCAAAGUAUGUGCAAUUAUGUGUUCGAAUUAUAUGGUUAUUAUCGAAAUAUCUUUUAUUAUGAUACAUAUGGACUUUCAAAGAUUGUAUACAGUACAUUGUGAAUUAUGUGAUCUUGAGAUCGACCAGAAAAGUACCCGUAAUUAUAUAUUUCUUCUAGUUCACUGAGGGGCCUUGGUCGUGUUCUAUCCUACACAGAGGGUCUUGACCUAACAUUGGUCUUGAUCGUGUACAUAUAGUUCACAGAGGGGUCUUGGCCGUGUUCUAGAAUUGAUUAUGAGAGGUCUUUGAGAUCGACUUUCGUUCACGGAGGAGGCCAAAGGCCCGUGAUGAAAGUUUUUAGCCCGAGGGGCGGAUUAUAUAUUUUAGUCAGAGGGUACGUUUUUGGUGGAUCACAUGUGAUAUGAUUAGAUGAUGGUAUAGAUAUCAGCUGAUGACUAUAUCGUGGAUAUGAGAUGAUAUUUACGUAGUUAUGAGAAUGUCUCAUUUUUUUGCUACUAUCGUGUGAAUUACUAAACGAUAUGAACUUAUUGUUGGAUAAAAAUGUUUAAAUGAGAAAAUAUAAUUAUUUUCAAACUUUUCCA